GAUGAACGCUGGCGGCGUGCCUAAUACAUGCAAGUCGAGCGAACAGACGAGGAGCUUGCUCCUCUGACGUUAGCGGCGGACGGGUGAGUAACACGUGGAUAACCUACCUAUAAGACUGGGAUAACUUCGGGAAACCGGAGCUAAUACCGGAUAAUAUAUUGAACCGCAUGGUUCAAUAGUGAAAGACGGUUUUGCUGUCACUUAUAGAUGUAUCCGCGCCGCAUUAGCUAGUUGGUAAGGUAACGGCUUACCAAGGCAACGAUGCGUAGCCGACCUGAGAGGGUGAUCGGCCACACUGGAACUGAGACACGGUCCAGACUCCUACGGGAGGCAGCAGUAGGGAAUCUUCCGCAAUGGGCGAAAGCUUGACGGGGCAACGCCGCGUGAGUGAUGAAGGUCUUCGGAUCGUAAAACUCUGUUAUUAGGGAAGAACAAAUGUGUAAGUAACUAUGCACGUAUUGACGGUACCUAAUCAGAAAGCCACGGCUAACUACGUG
rnacentral:rRNA from 1 species